rnacentral:tRNA from 1 species
AGCCCUGAGGUGUUGGACACGUCAGAUUGCAAAUCUGAAGGCGCAGACUAAUCGUCUGCCGGGGCUU